UUUAAAUAAAAAGGAUAAACAUUAUGGAUUUCCAUUAUCUCAAGCAAAAACAAAGAGUUCAAAAUAUUAGUGGUAAGAACUGUCAAAAACUUGUGAUAGCUAUGAUGAAGAGUUUGUGCAUCGACUUCUCACGAAUCAUACACAGAGUCGAUUGUCGAUGCAAUAAUUGCUGAUUCGUGAAAACGGGCAACUUUUGCUUGUCUUAAAGUGCCUUAAAUCCAUC